UACGUAGGGUGCGAGCGUUAAUCGGAAUUACUGGGCGUAAAGCGUGCGCAGGCGGCGCGUUAAGACAGGUGUGAAAGCCCCGAGCUUAACUUGGGAAUUGCGCUUGUGACUGGCGUGCUGGAGUGUGGCAGAGGGAGGUGGAAUUCCACGUGUAGCAGUGAAAUGCGUAGAGAUGUGGAGGAACACCGAUGGCGAAGGCAGCCCCCUGGGUCAAUACUGACGCUCAUGCACGAAAGCGUGGGGAGCAAACAGG
rnacentral:rRNA from 1 species